rnacentral:rRNA from 1 species
GAUGAACGCUGGCGGCGUGCCUAAUACAUGCAAGUCGAGCGAAUGGAUUAAGAGCUUGCUCUUAUGAAGUUAGCGGCGGACGGGUGAGUAACACGUGGGUAACCUGCCCAUAAGACUGGGAUAACUCCGGGAAACCGGGGCUAAUACCGGAUAACAUUUUGAACCGCAUGGUUCGAAAUUGAAAGGCGGGUUCGGCUGUCACUUAUGGAUGGACCCGCGUCGCAUUAGCUAGUUGGUGAGGGAACGGCUCACCAAGGCAACGAUGCGUAGCCGACCGGGGAGGGUGAUCGGCCACACUGGGACUGAGACACGGCCCAGACUCCUACGGGAGGCAGCAGUAGGGAAUCUUCCGCAAUGGACGAAAGUCUGACGGAGCAACGCCGCGUGAGUGAUGAAGGCUUUCGGGUCGUAAAACUCUGUUGUUAGGGAAGAACAAGUGCUAGUUGAAUAAGCUGGCACCUUGACGGUACCUAACCAGAAAGCCACGGCUAACUACGUGCCAGCCGCCGCGGUAA